rnacentral:tRNA from 1 species
GCAGGUGUAGUUUAGUGGUAGAACUUCAGCUUUCCAAGCUGACUGUGAGGGUUCGAUUCCCUUCACCUGCUCCA